AUUGAACGCUGGCGGCAGGCCUAACACAUGCAAGUCGAACGAGUGGCGGACGGGGGAGAAAUGUCUGGGACACUGCCUGAUGGAGGGGGACAACCACUGGAAACGGUCGCUAAUACCGCAAACCAUCAGAUGUGCCCAGGUGGGAUUGGCUUGGUGGUGGGGUAACGGCACACCAAGGCGACGACCCCUAGCUGGUCUGAGAGGAGUACAAGCCACACUGGAACUGGGACACGGUCCAGACUCCUACGGGAGGCAGCAGGGGGGAAUAUUGCACAAUGGGCGCAAGCCGGAUGCAGCCAUGCCGCGUGUGUGAAGAAGGCCUUCGGGUUGUAAAGUACUUUCAGCGGGGAGGCGUUACCCGCAGAAGAAGCACCGGCUAACUCCGUGCCAGCAGCCGCGGUAAUUC
rnacentral:rRNA from 1 species